AGCGAACGCUGGCGGCAGGCCUAACACAUGCAAGUCGAACGAAGUCUUCGGACUUAGUGGCGGACGGGUGAGUAACACGUGGGAACGUGCCUUUAGGUUCGGAAUAACCCAGGAAACUUGUGCUAAUACCGAAUGUGCCACUGGGGGGUAAGAUUUAUCGCCUUUAGAGCGGCCCGCGUCUGAUUAGCUAGUUGGUGAGGUAAAGGCUCACCAAGGCGACGAUCAGUAGCUGGUCUGAGAGGAUGAUCAGCCACAUUGGGACUGAGACACGGCCCAAACUCCUACGGGAGGCAGCAGUGGGGAAUCUUGCGCAAUGGGCGAAAGCCUGACUCAGCCAUGCCGCGUGAAUGAUGAAGGUCUUAGGAUUGUAAAAUUCUUUCACCGGGAACGAUAAUGACGGUACCCGGAGAAGAAGCCCCAGCUAACUUCGUGCCAGCCGCCGCCGUAAAAC
rnacentral:rRNA from 1 species